rnacentral:rRNA from 1 species
UACGUAGGGGGCUAGCGUUGUCCGGAAUCAUUGGGCGUAAAGCGCGCGUAGGCGGCCAGAUAAGUCCGGUGUGAAAGUCACAGGCUCAACCUGUGAAUGCCGCUGGAAACUGUCUGGCUAGAGUCCGGAAGGGGCGAGUGGAAUUCCUGGUGUAGCGGUGAAAUGCGCAGAUAUCAGGAGGAACACCAAUGGCGAAGGCGGCUCACUGGCCCGGUACUGACGCUGAGGUUCGAAAGCUCGGGGAGCAAACAGG